GGGCAAGGGACAGGUCGCUGCGAGGGUGAAACGGGCCGAUCGUUAAAACCUUCCAGACGCAGAAGCCUUUUCCACGAUGCAGCGCCAGGACCCCAGCGCCAAGCAGGGCACGAGGAGGGGACCCAGAUGAGGAGACCUAAUGUGAGCCCAGUAUUCUGCAGUCCUCAGCACACAGUAGGUGUGAAAGGAUUCCCAGGCCAAGCCCUUUCCUGCCCAGUGAGGAGUCCCAGCCCUGCUCCGGGGGCCCAGGCCAGAAUGGAAGUGUGAAGCCCAAUGCCGGGCUUGAACUCACAACCCCAAGAUCAAGACCUGAGCUGAAAUCAAGAGUCAGACUCUUCAUCGACUGAACCACCCAGGCGCCCCUCGUUUCUCCCGUUUCUCAGGGGGACAGUGGGGCCCUCCUGCCCUGAUCGAGUGAGGACAGGGCCAGGGCUCAGGCUGGACAAGCUCUGCGUAAAGAAUGCCAAUAUAUGGAGGUAAAGAAAAAUCCUGGGAUGGCCUUCGGAGAUAACGAGUGCUGGGAUCUUCUGUGUAUCUUUUAGACUUCGCUCUCUAAUAAGCACCUAUACUUUCUUUUUAACAAAAAUGGGAUCAGAGCAUGCAUGCCGCCUUGCCGCCUGCUCUUCUAAGGUCCGAACACUCUGCAGACCCACCACGUGGCAUCAGCCUCUGAGCGCCCGCGCCUCCUUUCCCGGCGGCCCAGCCCCCACUGGACAAAGGGACUGCCGGUUCCCCACCGAAGGGCAUUUAAUCAUCUGGAACACCCUCCUUCAUAAACAACGUCUCUCUGCCCAUCCUCCCUGCCCUACCCAUUCCUUAGAUACAUCUUGGAAAGUGGAGUUUGGGCAGAAAACUCCACGUGGGUAAGGCACUGGAACACGCAGGCUUCAGCAACGCACACAGCAGCAGGGCGCCCAGGCCUGACCCUCCGCCCAUGCCUUCGCCGGCUCCGGGUAAUAACCAUUUAAUAUUGGCCAGCCGGAUGGAUGGGAAGUAGCCCUCAUGUUUUAUUUAUCUACACAUUUAUUUUAUUUAUUUAUUUUUAAAAAUAUAUUUUUUUAAAGAUUUUAUUUAUUUAUUUGACAGAGAGAGAUCACAAGUAGGCAGAGAGGCAGACAGAGAGGAAGGGAAGCAGGCUUCUGGCUGAGCAGAGAGCCCCAUGUGGGGCCUGAUCCCAGGACCCCAGGAUCACGACCGGAGCUGAAGAAAGAGGCUUUAACCCACUGAGCCACCCAGGCGCCCCACUACACAUUUAUUUUAAAGUUUAUUCAUUCAUUCAUUUUUUUAAGUAAUCUGCACGCCCAAUGUGGACCUCGAACCCAUGACCCCAACAUCAAGAGUCCCGUGCUCUCCAAAGGAGCCAGCCAGGCACCUGUAUUUUCUAUUAUUUAAAAAAAAGAUAAGGGGUGCCUGGGUGCCUCAGUCGUUACGACCCUGCCUUCGGCUCAGGUCAUGAUCCCAGGGUCCUGGGAUCCAGUCCCGCAUUGGGCUCCCUGCUCAGCGGUUAGCCUGCCUCUCCCUCUCUCACUCCUCCCGCUUGUGUUCCCUCUGUCACUGUGUCUCUCCUUGUCAAAUGAAUAAGUAACAUCUUUAAAAUAAAUAAAUAAUUAAAUUUUAAAAAAAUUAAAAGAUACGAUUGUCACUGGCUCUAGUUGUAUCUUAUUAGUCUGAAAAGACUCCGUACGGUGAUGCAGUGUGGACUUUCCCCAGCGGUUCACCGAUCUUACUCAUAAUGGGCUUUUCUUGCUUGUAAGCAGCUGGGCUCUCCCUUCGCGUCUCUCUUAGACGGCCUGUCCCCAUUCAUUCCCUCAAUACCCGUAAAAAUGCUCACCCAGCACCCCUGAAGCUUCACUUUUCUACGUGUACAUUCCUUAACUUAAACCUUAAAGCAGGGAUCUACUCCGCAUUUCCCAAAUUCAUAGCAACUAACCCCAAAUUCCCUUCAUCUCUCCCCUCAGGUCUGAAAUGCCACUCGUGCCACCUGUGAAGUCUUGUAUGUACCGAGGCCUGUUUCUAGGCCAGUGCUGUUCAGUGGAACUUCCUGCAGUGACGGGGAUGGGAAUGUUCUAGAUCUGUUAUCCCACACAGUAACCACAAGCCACAGAACCCAUGAAACGUGGCUAUGAAGAUCAGGAAAGCGAGUUGUAAAUUUUAGUUAAUCCUCAUUAACUUAAAUGUAAAUACCUACAUGUUCUAGCAUGUUCCAGCACGGUCCAGACUCUCCAUAUGUUACCAGAAAUGCUUUAGGUCCAGUAAGCCUGGCUGUCACGUGGGGGUCAGGAACCACGGUUCCCGGUAUUGAUGCUUUACUAAGCCCCAUCCAGUGAGCUGGAUUCUUCCUUCUUUCUUUUCAAAACUUUCUCUGCUGUGCACAGACACUUUGUCCUCACAUAAUACUAACAACUUCUUUGCUUUUUGGUACUCUCCUGCCAUCACGGACACACACUGCAACUUCCAAAGGCUAUGUGACUUCCCACAUCACCCCAACCCAGUGCAAACACAGGUAUGGAAUCUAGCAGCUUCUAGUACGCCAAACAUUAGAAAGGUUUGCAAACAUGUAAAAUGGGACAGAAUUUUCUAAAAUACAGUGAUUUUU